rnacentral:tRNA from 2 species
GCCAGGGUGCUGGAACCGGCAGACAGGCACGGUUUAGGACCGUGUGUCGUAAGACGUGGAGGUUCGAUCCCUCUCCCUGGCA